rnacentral:tRNA from 1 species
GAGUUUGGGAGGUCCAACGAAAACUGCUAAUUUUUUGUUUCCGCAGCUCAAUUCUGCGGCUAACUCA